AAGGCUCUUAUUGUGUCAGCAGUGCUUUGCGCAUUUAUUUGUUUCGUACAAUCAGGGCCAGCGAGACGGCGUGAUGCUCACGUAGACAUUGAUGAAGGAAAUGAUGAUACCUGGCCACACCCUGAAACAAUAAAUAAGUUCCCAAUUCCUGAUGCAUUUGUCAACGCAGCCACAGGAGUGACUGAAGAAAAUGAGGAUGUAACUGCGCAAGCAUCUCGAAGCAGACCACGGCAUCACCGAUUCCACAGACAUUAAGCAUUACACUAUAAAAGAGUAAACAGUGCCCGA